rnacentral:tRNA from 1 species
UAGAUUGGAGCUCGCUGGAUAGAGUGUUUAGCUGUUAACUAAAAGGUUGUGGGAUUGAAGCCCAUCGAUCUAA